UUUCAUAGAAAUCAAAAAAUUGUAAUUAAAGAUUUUUUUUGAAAAUUGAAAAUUUUGGUCCAAAUUUAGUCACUAUCUGCGUCAGUCUAUCAGCUUGGUAAAAUUCUUUUUCUUGUUCAAAUUUUUGAAAAGUAUAAUUAUGACGUCAACCGAAUACGCUGUUGCACAGUGCAAGCUAAAAUUUACACGACAAAAAAAUCGAAUGCAAAGAUAGGGAGGUAAUAAAAGAAAGUAAGGAGGGAGGGGCGCUGUCAACCACCAACUGCCAACUGGCAAAUGAAGUCGUAAAAAGAUUGGCCAAAAGUUUUUGUGUGCUGCGCACAGAAGUACAUGCAUAUAAAAAUGGCGAAGUUGGGAUUAGUUUCAUCAAGGAUAAGCCAAAUGCUGGACACGCUGGCUGACUUCGUACAUAAACGAGGCGAGGUUUGCCGGACUGCUGCAGGACUACAAGACUAGCUGACAGGAUUUUGAUCUCGGUUGGCUGGCUUUUUCGCAAUUUCAGACAAAAACUUUUUAUGCAGUUGCCUGUUGGUUCUACUCCAGCUGAGUGGCAUACACGAAUACUUUUACGUAUAUAUAUGUAUGUGUGUUAUCGAGUAGAUAUAUAUACAUAUGUAUAUACAGGGCAAACUUUUUUUGAAACCAUUUUACUUGUUACACGUAGUCACAAGCAAUCAUAUACGUAUGUAUGUCCGUAUGUGCUUAUUUUUGAGUAUAUUCCUCAUCCUUACAUA